CCCUCCUCCCGAUUCCCACUCACCGGCGGGGCGACGACGUUCGACGACGGCCCGAAAGGCGCGCCGGCCAUGGCGGCACGGCGGCUGCGCUCGCCGAAGCAGCAUGCCGUGGACGAUGUCCGGCAUGCUCCUUCGUUGAGCGUGGCUGCUAGCGUCCGUGUACAUGGCGCAUCAAGGAGGAGGAUGGGCGCCGGCCACCGCGACAUGAAAGGCGACGGCGACCUGCGUGGCGUCGGCCACACAGAGGCACGUCCAUUAGAGCAGCGGCGGCUGCCGAGUUCUUCCCGUGCGUCGUCCUGAGGACGGCGGCGUCACGACGUCUCUGCCCUCGCACCGCGGUGGACGCAGUGCGGGCCCCGAAGGGAAGAGGCGGCUACGUGGCGCAUUAGGUGGCCAGCUCUCUCCCGUAUCCCUUUUAAUAUGGCGCUGGCGACAGGGGACCCAGAACCUGGUUUUUGGGCGCCCCCGAUCAUGGCGCGUUAGUUCUGAUCGAGACUCACGUACGUUGGUACGUGGACCCUUUCACUUAUCAUUAUCCCUUCAUCUUUUUUUUUGUUAGACUAAUAGAUCUAACGGGCCUGUUUAAGCUGUCUGAUCAAAACCAACACCUCGCACUCCUCGGUCCUAGCCGCCUUGCUCCUGUGGUCCGGUCGCCUUCGUCCCGCGCUCCGUCCGCCUUUCUCCUCGAGGUCCGGCCGCUCCCCCUUUCCCCGAGGCCCCACGGCAGCGUCGCCGCCGCCCAACCGCUCGGUCCACAAGCUAGGAAUCUGGGCCGCCCUCCUCGCCGUGGUGGCCCUGCUGGCCGUCAGCGACAGAAGCGGGGUGGAGGGUUUUAAAGCUUAUCUGGUAUAUUUUCUGUGUGCCCUGCAGCAGUUCUUCAGUGCGCAUAAAAAAGACAAGCAGUUCAAUUACUAAAAUACUAAAUUCAUUUUUCAGUUCAGUUCAAUUGACAAAUUUAGAUCAGUCCAAAUCCUUGUUAUAGUUUCUGUUCAAAUUCUUAUUACGUAGUGCCUGCAUGCUGAUCCAUCUACAAGUAGACAACAAUUGCAGGAUCUGCGCACAACACUCGGUAAGAUAGCAUUUCUUCUGUCCCAGUUUUAUGAAGGCCAGCAAAAGCUCAUCAAUCCCCCAAAAAUCACAUUUUCGGUGCUUGCCGACGCUAGCCUUGAGUUGUAAGCGACUACUGUAACUACACUGACUACAAAAAUUGCAGCGAGAAUGGGUGUAGAAACUUCGAGUACGGCACCCUGCUGCAGCUCCGCAUCAGGCAGAAGCGCCGCAUGGAGCAGUUGCCUUCUGCUCCCAUACCUGUCGAUGCUUUAGAUUUCCAUACAUGAAUAUAAAUGUAUGUGUAGUCUCCAUAGUAAGAAAAAAUGCAGACUUGUUCAGUCACGUGGUGUGUAGUUGCUGUUUGGAAUUCAUGCAUGUUCUGGUUCAUGCUGAAAUUAUGUCAUGAAAAGAAGUCAUCCCAUCUACUUUCAUGAUGGGCAACCACUUUAUUUGAGUGGAUAGCUCUGAGUUCUGACUUGCAUUCAUAGUUCUAAGUUCUAUAGUUCUUCAAUUUCUUAGUCGUACAGUGGUAUGAUCCCCUUGACUCAUGGCUCCUUUCUUUCCAUGUUAUUGGUGUGUCAUCGUUUGCAUUUGUCAGUGCCACUAGCAGUACAUAAUUUGCAAUGUCGUUCUAUUUCACAACUAAGACAUAAAAAGUUGAGAUUCAGAAGACAGGUUCGGCCAUAGCUGAAGGGAAACGGCAUGUCGAUGGUGUUCUAUCUUCUAUCCUAUAUCUAUCUUGGUUGCUCUUUGUUUAAUUACUUUGUAAUUAUUUCAAUUUUGGUUAAGUCUUUUCUCUGAUAUAUCUGUUGUAAAUUGUAGGUACCGAGGCAAAAUUCAUAGUUGUAGUUGUCUGCAAUUUACUAUGGCAAAAGGUCAGAAGAUUGUCCUUCCAGCGCGUCUGGCCACCUCCCCGUAGCACCGCCUCCAUCUCGCGCGCCGCCCUGCUUCCCCACAGCGUGCUGCCGCAGGCAUAACCCUACAUCGCACAUUGAGAAAUGGUGGCACGCGGGGUGUGAGGCGGCGUCUCCCCACCAUUUUUGUAGGUUGCCGCAAAAACAAGAUGCACAAGUUCAUCUUUUGUAUGCUUUUCAGUACAUCUACUUUCCAAUGGGUACGUCCAACGACAAUGAGUAGGCAGCAAGUGUACUGGUGAGCAGCAGGACGGAGGCAUGAGGCAGUUGAGUAGGUGUGUGCGGUGAGCAGCUACUGAACUGAUUCUGACACUGGAAUAUUAGUCCCACACAGCCUCUCAAGACCUUGUCAUUGUCUCUGAACCUGGUGGUCUUCGUGGCCCUGCUUGAACCUUCAUGGCUCAGGCCGUUCAUUACCUCCACCCCGAGGUCGUUCGACGAUGCAGCGCUCAAGCCGUUCACCCUUACCACCACAAGCCGUUCACCUCCGCCACACGAGGCAGUGCGAUGACGCAGCAAUCAGGCGGUUCACCUCUGCCACCACAAACCGUUCAUCUCAGCCAUAGGAGGCCGAUGCAACACUAAGGAUGUUGUGUUCUUUUUCAGUACAUGUUUUGUGUGCUUAUCAGUUAACCUACUUAACGAUUAUAUGUACAAUUUCCCCUUGGUUUACGUGUUCUUCCUAUAGCACAACAGGUGUUGUGUGUCAUGCCUUAAUAAGCAUUUUAUAAAACCUAGUAUGGAUCGAAACUAGCAUAUGUUAUGUUCUAUUCUUGUAAAUGAAGCUCCUUCUGUUUUGUUUGAAGUUACUUGGCAUAAAAAUUUGUACAUGUUCUACCGCAAAAAAACAUAUAUAAAAUGUCUUGAUGCUUGAAAUCUGAAAAUACACUCGGUUCAGUUCCUAUAUUUUAUUCCAGUUCAAUUUAAAAUUCUUGUUCAGUUCAAUUCUGGUUUUGUUACACACUUUUAUGUCAUUAUAUUUAAUCUGCCAUAGUGGUCAUGGGUGUGUGGGUUAGCCCUAGCUACGUGUGCUGGUUGUUUGGAGAACAAUAAUUGAACAGAAACUAGGGUUAUCCGAAUUUGGCUGAUUCACGAUUUGAUGGAAUCUCCACUAGUGGCAGUACACCUGUGGCAAACAAAAAGAACCCCACAGAAAUUCAAAAUGGUAAAAAGUUCAACUCGUAAAAUGAGAGAUCCAGAACAUCGUUGCAAAAAAAAUGUUGAAAAAAACAGAGGACAAAAAAUUUAACAAAGGAUAAGAACCGGGGUUAUUCACCAAGAAAUUUUUAAAAAGCUUGCAGAACAAAACAACAUAAGUUAGGAGAUCAUGACACUAUGACAAGAAUGCUCAGUACAAUCCCACACAGGGCUUAAUUCGUAUUAUCAUUUCCGAACAAUGAUGAAACAAUGCUCGGUACAAACCCGCUCAACAUUUGGGAAACAGAAGUUGUAGCUUCUUUCAAAGUUCAAAAUGAAUAAUAUUUUCAGUUCAACUUGUUCUAGCAAACCAUGUGCGAGACACCAUAGAAUGAAAAUGUUGUCGCGUUGCUAGGUCUCCAAUUUGUUCAACUACAAAUAAAUAACAUCCGUUCGACUACAUAUAUUACACUAGUUCAACUGAGUGCGUCACACCAAUUGACCUAAGUUUUACAUAUGAAUCACUUAAGAAAAAACUGUAGAUUUUGAUGAUGCAAGCUUAGUUCUUUUUUCUAUUUCCUAUAAGUUCAAGUGAUCAAUUGCUAUAAGUUGGCGGGUUGUUUACUCAGGCAGUUAAAAAAGUGAAUUAUGUUCAUGGCCAGCGAGAUGCUCAUCAUUUGUCGCAUCCAUCUCUACUGAAUUAUAUUCAUCUCUUUCAGUUCUUCUUUGAAAUUUUGGUCCAUUUUCUUUUUGCAGGAUGCAUAAAAAAUCAAAGGUAGCAUCUCAAAAAAGAUGAAUAUUGGAAGCCCAUUGCCGGGCUGCGGAUGUGUAUGACUUGAAUCGGUAGCAGGCCUGUAACCGAAUCAUUCCGCACCACUUUUCUGUCCGUGUGGCUUGACGUGCUGCCCGCCGGCUCAGUCGUGUACGUCCAGACAAGACACUAUGGUGCAAUUUAUUGCAUGAAUUGCAGUAUGUGUUUGAGAGUGGAUGAACCCAUACCUGAAGGCUCUGGGCUCCGACUACAACAACUGUGUCAAAUUCGCCAUGGCUGCCUCAACGGUGUCCCGCGGCGUCUCCCAAUUCCCUGAACAUCCAGGUCGAUCCUUUCGCCUACUACAAGCGCAGAUCCCUAGAGCUCUAAAAUUCUGUAUAAGGAUAUUUUUUUCAUCAGUUCUAAAAUUCCCAGAGCAUCAGUCCAACGACGUAUCGGGGUAUACUGUGUUGCUCCUGCGAAUUUUUUGUAUGCUUGCAUGUACAAAAAAUGGUACAAUUA